UACGGGGGGGGCAAGCGUUGUUCGGAAUUACUGGGCGUAAAGGGCGCGUAGGCGGCCUGCUAAGUCGGAUGUGAAAUCCCUCGGCUCAACCGAGGAACUGCAUCCGAUACUGGCGGGCGUGAAUCCGGGAGAGGGAUGUGGAAUUCCAGGUGUAGCGGCGAAAUGCGUAGAUAUCUGGAGGAACACCGGUGGCGAAGGCGGCAUCCUGGACCGGUAUUGACGCUGAGGCGCGAAAGCUAGGGGAGCAAACGGG
rnacentral:rRNA from 1 species